rnacentral:rRNA from 1 species
UACGUAGGAGGCAAGCGUUGUCCGGAGUUACUGGGCGUAAAGGGCCCGCAGGCGGUGGAGUAAGUUUGGGGUGACAGUUCCCAGCUUAACCGGGAAAGGACUUCGAAAACUGCUCGACUUGAGGACUGGAGAGGAAGGCGGAAUUCCGGGUGGAGCGGUGAAAUGCGUAGAGAUCCGGAGGAACACCGACGGCGAAGGCAGCCUUCUGGAAAGUACCUGACGCUGAGGGGCGAAAGCUAGGGGAGCGAACGGG